rnacentral:lncRNA from 1 species
CCCGCCGGGCACCGCCUGCACCUCCACUUCGAGAAGGUCUCGCUGGCCGAGGACGAUGACAGGCUCAUCAUCCGCAACGGGAACAACGUGGAGGCACCGCCGGUGUACGACUCCUACGAGGUGGAGUACCUGCCCAUCGAGGGGCUGCUCAGCACCGGGCGCCACUUCUUCGUGGAGCUCACCACCGACAGCAGCGGGGCCUCCACGGGCAUGGCGCUGCGCUACGAGGCCUUCGAGCACGGCCACUGCUACGAGCCCUUCGUCAAGUACGGGAACUUCACGGCCAGCGACGCCCGCUACCCCGUGGGCACCACGGUGGAGUUCAGCUGCGACCCCGGCUACACGCUGGAGCAGGGCUCCACCAUCAUCGAGUGCGUCGA